GCCCCCGUAGCUCAAAGGACAGAGCUCCGCAGUCCUAACGCGGCGAUAGAGGUUCAAUUCCUCUCGGGGGUACCA
rnacentral:tRNA from 1 species